GUACCAGUAGACACAUCCCUUUGUUUCCUUUUUGCUCACAUCAGCCGGGGUGACAAGGUUGCUGGUUACCAAGGUGUUGCUUUUGCGGGUUGUGUGGGUAGUGCCUGAGAAGCAGGAAGAGAGUCAAGAAACAGCCCCUAGUGGUGUUAGAAGGGAAACAUGAGGCUUUCAUGCCCAGAUGAUGUACUUCUCACUAAUACUUGUUUUCUUCCUGUAUUAGCAUUGAAAGGUUUUAUCAAAACCAACAUGCCGUCAUACCAGGUUGUAUGAUGGAGAACUCUGUAACAGAAGACCAUGGAAUUUGUCAAGCCUUUGUUGUGUUAGAUAUUUACACUUCAGUUUUUGAUCUUUUAAACUGAAUUUAAGUUUAGGCAACACUAACUUUUUCCAAGCACAAGUAGUAAAAAUAGUAUAAUUACUGGCUGUCGGUAUUCAAGAACCAGGUUGUG